GACGAACGCUGGCGGCGUGCUUAACACAUGCAAGUCGAACGGAAAGGCCUCUUUCGGGGGGUACUCGAGUGGCGAACGGGUGAGUAACACGUGAGUAACCUGCCCUUGACUUUGGGAUAACUUCAGGAAACUGUGGCUAUUACCGGAUAGGAGCUCCUGCUGCUUGGUGGGGGUUGGAAAGUUUCUGCGGUUGGGGUUGGAUUCGCGGCUUAUCAGCUUGUUGGUGGGGUAGUGGCUUACCAAGGCUUUGACGGGUAGCCGGCCUGAGAGGGUGACCGGCCACAUUGGGACUGAGAUACGGCCCAGACUCCUACGGGAGGCAGCAGUGGGGAAUAUUGCACAAUGGGUGGAAGCCUGAUGCAGCAAAGCCGUGGGCGGGAUGACGGCCUUCGGGUUGUAAACCGCUUUCGCUCAUGACGAAGCUUUGUGUGACGGUAGUGGGUAAAGAAGCACCGGCUAACUACGUG
rnacentral:rRNA from 1 species